GAGUUUGAUCUUGGCUCAGAACGAACGCUGGCGGCAGGCCUAAUACAUGCAAGUCGAACGCACCUUCGGGUGAGUGGCGGACGGGUGAGUAACGCGUGGGAAUCUGCCCUUGGGUUCGGGAUAACAGUUGGAAACGACUGCUAAUACCGGAUGAUGACUUCGGUCCAAAGAUUUAUCGCCCAGGGAUGAGCCCGCGUCGGAUUAGCUAGUUGGUGAGGUAAAGGCUCACCAAGGCGACGAUCCGUAGCUGGUCUGAGAGGAUGAUCAGCCACACUGGGACUGAGACACGGCCCAGACUCCUACGGGAGGCAGCAGUGGGGAAUAUUGGACAAUGGGCGAAAGCCUGAUCCAGCAAUGCCGCGUGAGUGAUGAAGGCCUUAGGGUUGUAAAGCUCUUUUACCCGGAAGAUAAUGACUGUACCGGGAGAAUAAGCCCCGGCUAACUCCGUGCCAGCCGCCGCCGUAAG
rnacentral:rRNA from 1 species